rnacentral:rRNA from 1 species
UACAGAGGUCCCGAGCGUUGUUCGGAUUCACUGGGCGUAAAGGGUGCGUAGGUGGUGAGGUAAGUCGGAUGUGAAAUCUCGGAGCUUAACUCCGAAAUGGCAUUGGAAACUACCUCGCUCGAGGGUUGGAGGGGGGACUGGAAUGCUUGGUGUAGCAGUGAAGUGCGUAGAUAUCAAGCGGAACACCAGUGGCGAAGGCGAGUCCCUGGACAACUCCUGACACUGAGGCACGAAAGCUAGGGGAGCAAACAGG